rnacentral:rRNA from 1 species
UGGGGAAUAUUGCACAAUGGGCGCAAGCCUGAUGCAGCCAUGCCGCGUGUGUGAAGAAGGCCUUCGGGUUGUAAAGCACUUUCAGCGAGGAGGAAGGGUUCAGUGUUAAUAGCACUGUUCAUUGACGUUACUCGCAGAAGAAGCACCGGCUAACUCCGUGCCAGCAGCCGCGGUAAUACGGAGGGUGCAAGCGUUAAUCGGAAUUACUGGGCGUAAAGCGCACGCAGGCGGUUUGUUAAGUCAGAUGUGAAAUCCCCGCGCUUAACGUGGGAACUGCAUUUGAAACUGGCAAGCUAGAGUCUUGUAGAGGGGGGUGAGAAUUCCAGGUGUAGCGGUGAAAUGCGUAGAGAUCUGGAGGAAUACCGGUGGCGAAGGCGGCCCCCUGGACAAAGACUGACGCUCAGGUGCGAAAGCGUGGGGAG